ACUCCUACGGGAGGCAGCAGUGGGGAAUAUUGCACAAUGGGCGCAAGCCUGAUGCAGCCAUGCCGCGUGUGUGAAGAAGGCCUUCGGGUUGUAAAGCACUUUCAGUCGUGAGGAAGGUGAGUAGUAGUUAAUAGCUGUAUUUAUUUGACGUUAGCGACAGAAGAAGCACCGGCUAACUCCGUGCCAGCAGCCGCGGUAAUACGGAGGGUGCGAGCGUUAAUCGGAAUUACUGGGCGUAAAGCGCAUGCAGGUGGUUUGUUAAGUCAGAUGUGAAAGCCC
rnacentral:rRNA from 1 species